rnacentral:rRNA from 1 species
GACGAACGCUGGCGGCGUGCUUAACACAUGCAAGUCGAACGAAGAGCGAUGGACGCUUGCUUCUAUCAAUCUUAGUGGCGAACGGGUGAGUAACGCGUAAUCGACCUGCCCUUCAGAGGGGGACAACAGUUGGAAACGACUGCUAAUACCGCAUACGAUCUAAUCUCGGCAUCGAGGAUAGAUGAAAGGUGGCCUCUACAUGUAAGCUAUCACUGAAGGAGGGGAUUGCGUCUGAUUAGCUAGUUGGAGGGGUAACGGCCCACCAAGGCGAUGAUCAGUAGCCGGUCUGAGAGGAUGAACGGCCACAUUGGGACUGAGACACGGCCCAGACUCCUACGGGAGGCAGCAGUGGGGAAUCUUCCGCAAUGGACGAAAGUCUGACGGAGCAACGCCGCGUGAGUGAUGACGGCCUUCGGGUUGUAAAGCUCUGUUAAUCGGGACGAAAGGCCUUCUUGCGAAUAGUGAGAAGGAUUGACGGUACCGGAAUAGAAAGCCACGGCUAACUACGUG